ACCGUUCUGCUUCUUUUUAAGUUUUAAAAAAAACCAAAUUUAAGGAAACAAUUUUGUUUCCCCUUUCUCUGAAGCAGCAUAUGAAAUGGCUUCUUUAGGGUUUCAUCAACCCUUGAGUGCCACCGCUCAGCCUUGUGCCAAAGCUCCGAUUACGACGGAGAUGGCAACAACUCGGUGGUUCCGGCAGAAAAGGUAAGUUUCCCGUUCUCUUCCUCUUUAUUAUUUUAAGCAAACUAUAAAAAUAAAAGAAGAAAGAAAAAAUAUAGAUAGAUAGUAAAAGAAUGAUGAACGCCAAUAAUGUAGAACGAAAAAAAAAAAAGAAACAUUUGUAUUCAAAAACUUCUUGUAUUUGUUUUCUCUCUUUUUCUCUGUAUCCCCUUCACCCUCUUUCAUAUAGUAUCUCAAUGGCUUUUUAUAGCCAUAAUAAAAAUACAAAACAAAGAAACAAAUCUGUUGCAAUUUUCUUGAUUUUUCUUGCCAUUGUUGUUUAUUUCCUUUCUUGCUGUGCAGGUGGAGAUCGCGUGGAGGUGGCUUGCGGCGCUGUUGAUCCUCAGAAACCCUAGGGUUUCCUCAUCCGUUUUGGACCACUGUAUUUGGGCCAUAUUCGAAAUUGGGCCACUGUUUUAAAUCGAUUUAGGCCUUUUAUUCGGGCCAAAAUCGGGUAUUACAAUAAUUAAAUUUAAUCAUCUAUAUUAUCUUAAUAUCAUAACCAUUUCUAAAAGGUUGAAAUGGAUAAGAAGACACUUCUGGAUUGGCUUGGGGUCUCUCCUCUUUUCCUUUGUCUUGCAUAGGUUCUCUACAUCUGUUUUAAUUCUGUUACUUAUUUUAAUCUAGUCCAUGAUAAUGUAUUUGGACGGAUGGAUAUGGAUAACCAGACAUUAAAAUGUGAAUGUUUUUAAUUUCAUAUUCAUGUGACGCUUUGUUUUCUUGUCUGAUAAUAAAAUCAAUCAAUCCCCCUGGAACGAAUUGGGUGAAGCCAAGAACCAGAAGCAAAAGCAAAUUGGAUAAGAAAACUAUGCCAUGUGGUCCAAUCCAUGUAUAGAACCCUUUGUUCCACAGCCUUGGAAAUCCAACCAUGUGGGGUGUUUCCAUUUUUGCCUUGAAAAUUGAUGCAACCCCGGGGCAGCAGCAAUCAUCUGAAUACAAUAAUGUUGCCCUCGACUUUACACAAUCAUAAUGCCAAUAACAUUCAUAGCAUCCGACUGCUAAUAACAAACAGCUAAUGAAGACACCCAAAGUCCCCAGAAUUUUAUGAAGAUGGCUUCUCAAAUAAAAACUGACCCUAAUUGUUGUAUGCUUUUGUUUGCUUACCAAAAAAACUACAAGUGGGCAACCCUUCUUUCAUAUUCUAAGUUCUAGCCUUAAGCCAAAAUUAUUC
rnacentral:lncRNA from 1 species